rnacentral:rRNA from 1 species
CCGGCGUGCUAAUCAUGCAGUGAGCGGGGUAGAUUUGAAGCUUGCUUUCAAAUCUACCUAGCGGCGGACGGGUGAGUACACGUGGGUAACCUGCCCUUUAGAUUGGGAUAACAUCAGGAAACUGGUGCUAAUACCGAAUAGGAAGAAGAGUCGCAUGACUUUUCUUGGAAAGGUGGCGUAAGCUACCACUAAAGGAUGGACCCGCGGCGCAUUAGCUAGUUGGUGGGGUAACGGCCUACCAAGGCGACGAUGCGUAGCCCACCUGAGAGGGUGAUCGGCCACACUGGGACUGAGACACGGCCCAGACUCCUACGGGAGGCAGCAGUAGGGAAUCUUCGGCAAUGGGCGAAAGCCUGACCGAGCAACGCCGCGUGAGUGAAGAAGGUUUUCGGAUCGUAAAACUCUGUUGUAAGGGAAGAACAGCAGGUAGUUAAAUAAGCUGCUUGUGUGACGGUACCUUAUUAGAAAGCCACGGCUAACUACGUGCC